AAGGAAUUGACGGGGGCCCGCACAAGCGGCGGAGCAUGCGGAUUAAUUCGAUGCAACGCGAAGAACCUUACCAAGGCUUGACAUGAACCGGUAAUACCUGGAAACAGGUGCCCCGCUUGCGGUCGGUUUACAGGUGGUGCAUGGUUGUCGUCAGCUCGUGUCGUGAGAUGUUGGGUUAAGUCCCGCAACGAGCGCAACCCUCGUUCUAUGUUGCCAGCGCGUUAUGGCGGGGACUCAUAGGAGACUGCCGGGGUCAACUCGGAGGAAGGUGGGGACGACGUCAAAUCAUCAUGCCCCUUAUGUCUUGGGCUUCACGCAUGCUACAAUGGCCGGUACAAAGGGUUGCGAUACUGUGAGGUGGAGCUAAUCCCAAAAAGCCGGUCUCAGUUCGGAUUGGGGUCUGCAACUCGACCCCAUGAAGUCGGAGUCGCUAGUAAUCGCAGAUCAGCAACGCUGCGGUGAAUACGUUCCCGGGCCUUGUACACACCGCCCGUCAAGUCACGAAAGUUGGUAACACCCGAAGCCGGUGGCCUAACCCUUGUGGGGGGAGCCGUCGAAGGUGGGACCGGCGAUUGGGACUAAGUCGUAACAAGGUAGCCGUACCGGAAGGUGCGGCUGGAUCACCUCCU
rnacentral:rRNA from 1 species